rnacentral:misc_RNA from 1 species
AUUCAAUCCAACCAUAAGAACUCUCAAUUUCAGCAUCCCAACAAUCUGCAGCAUAGUGAGCCAUCUCAUUUGCAAGAUGCUGACGGAAACGCAUACGGUCUUUGUCAAUUCCAAGUCGUGUUAGGAAAAGAUAGACUCUCCCGAUAAAGUACCCAAGUGUUUCAUUAUUGACAGUUCCUCGAGAAACAGCUUCACCAAGCUGUAGUUUCUUUGCACACUGUCCAGACACUUGGUCAUCUCUAGGAAACAUUAGAAACUCCAAUUUUGCAACAUCUGAAAAUUUUGGAUGAGAUUUGUCCUGGGGAUCAACAAAAUGUUCGAUUUCUGCCAGAGUGAACUCACGGACUCUAAGAAGACCUUGUCGGGGAGAUAU